AACGAACGCUGGCGGCAUGCCUAACACAUGCAAGUCGAACGAGACCUUCGGGUCUAGUGGCGCACGGGUGCGUAACGCGUGGGAACCUGCCCUUAGGUUCGGCAUAACUCCCCGAAAGGGGUGCUAAUACCGGACAAUGUCUUCGGACCAAAGACUUAUCGCCUUUGGAUGGGCCCGCGUGGGAUUAGCUAGUUGGUAGGGUAAAAGCCUACCAAGGCGACGAUCCAUAGCUGGUCUGAGAGGAUGAGCAGCCACACUGGGACUGAGACACGGCCCAGACUCGUACGGGAGGCAGCAGUGGGGAAUAGUGGACAAUGGGCGAAAGCCUGAUGCAGCAAUGCCGGGUGAGUGAUGAAGGCCUUAGGGUUGUAAAGCGCUUUUACCCGGGAUGAUAAUGACAGUACCGGGAGAAUAAGCUCCGGCUAACUCCGUG
rnacentral:rRNA from 1 species